rnacentral:lncRNA from 1 species
CCUCCUCCCUUGCCCGAGCCGCGCAUGGAGCUUAAAAUGCUCCGUACACGUACAUACCCGUGCUGCUGGCUCUGAAGGACAUGGGUGGAGACCGAGGCGGGAAGAGGGAGGCACAGGGCGGGGAGAAGCCGCCUGUAGCUUCUCCCAGGCCUCGUUCAGGGCCACCCCCCCAGGGACCUCUGCUAUCUGCUACAUGGAAGCUCGCUCAACUUGCACGUUUGUUUGCGUGGGGCUGCAUACCACAGAUGUGAGUGAAGAGGGGACGAUUAUGUAGCAGUGUGACUGCAGGGCAGGCACUAGACUAAUACUAGUGGACUGGGAGAAGUCACUCUCCAGCGUUUCUUCUUUGCGGAUACGGUGAAGACCCUGUCUGAAAUAAGGUCUUAUCAUCUACCAACAGACAUGGUGAGGAAAUGGAGACCCAGAUUAUCUUCAAAGUGGUAAAACUAACGGAAGCUAAAACCAGAAUUUGAACUUAACGAUUUAGCUCCGGAUUCCACACCUUGAGAUGUGGUGACCUGGCUUUCUCAGGGAUGAUGGUGUGUAAAGGAGACUUCUGAGAGCACAUAUCUUGAAAUACACCAUCAGCCUUUCCCCAAGGUGACCUCAAGCCUCAUGCCUGAAUGCCUGCCCAAAGAGGAGGGGCCAUGCCAUUCCUUUUCAGUGCCUCAAGAUAGAACUGGACAUUGUUAGCAGGACAUGUGUACGUGAGCCAGCCUCCUGGUCAGAGAGCAGGUUACCUGGGCCAGGCGAUAAAAACAUUCUAAGGCCCAAAUUCAGAAGCCCACUCGGGUCCUCUUUCCUGGAUCUCCAAGUGCCAGCAUGGAGUGGGUACAUUUUCAGCUGGCAAAACCCUCAUACUGGCUCCUUGAUUUGUGAAGUAACAGCCAUUAAGGGAGAUAAGAAAAAAAAAUCAAAAACCCAAACCAAGUGAAUACCCCUGAAAUUUGUGAUUCCCGAAACUGGGGAUUCAUGCUUUCUUCAAAGAUUUAAGUAUAUGUGUGUGGCGGUUAGCAUGAUAUUCGGGCUUAAUUAAUUUGAAUGUGAGAAAAGCAACAGUCAGCAGGGUCCACAGUCAUAGUCCAGGUAGUAUUAACCUACUAGCUUUCAGUCUCUGCCACAGUGUAGUGCACAGCUCGCUUGACCACCUUCAUAUCAGGCAGAACGUCCCCUCUCUGUGACAUCCUGGGGGCUGGAGCAGAGGCACGUAAAGGACAGCCUUGGGAGACGCCAUGACGCUAAGACACACAAUCGUGAAUACAUGUUUGGUCUUUCUCUCACUCAGGCACAUAGCUCCUAAAGCUCCUGGAAUUUUCCCAGAGUUUUGGGUAUCAAAGAGAAGGAUAGCAUUGUUGUUAUGCAUAAUGAACCCCUUACAAUCCCAUCUGAGUGUACCUCAGCGAGAUGAUUUUGGAAACCCAAGUAACCAAAGAACGGGUCUGGUUGCCAAAGAAACCAAAAGAGUGCCUAGCAGGGCGCAGGACAGGACAGAGCCUUCAUCAUCAGUUCAAUGCCGUGCCCGUCAGGGCUACACAGUGAACCCUCCACAGAGCCCAAAAGGUUGGAGCUGGUGAACAAGGCAGGUAGGCACCCAAACUGGGGGCACACAGAGCCCCUGUGCUCUGGACCCUUCUGGACCUUGUCCUGCGCAUCUCUAUCUGGCAGUUCAGGGUUAAUUUCCGGUCUCCUUUGUGAUAAGCCAAGAAUGUAGAAAGUGUGCUGUGGACCAGGACCGCCCAGCACACAAUGGGGUCCUCUGAUGGGGGAUGCCGCGCCUUCACCCUGUGGAGCCUGCUGACCUCAUCUCCAGGGAGACAGGGCCAGACAAGGUGAGCCAUGGGACACUGUCACUGUCUGCAGAAGAUAGGAGACUAUGUGAUGUUACAUAGCACGCUUUUCCCCAUAUGAGAGAUCUAAAAAAUAACGAAUUAAUAAACAAAUAAAAGAAAAAGGAUAACAGGAAACUAGAGAAGGUAGACCAAUAUACUGAAGCACACUUCAGUAUUCUGAUGAAUAAUAUGUAUUACUAAUAAAAAAUAAGCUUAAAUAUCUCAUGAUUUCCCUAUAGGAGAAACCCAAAUUAUAAAUAAAGGACAAAAUAAAAGAUAGCUAUUAGGAAGUAGGGAGACAGAUCUUUCUCAAAGGGGAAGAGGACCAGAACAUGGAGGGAGGGGUGACGGGAGGGAAAGGGGAUGAAAAAAGGAAUUAGAAUGUGUUCGACCAGGCACGGUGGCACACACCUGUGAUCCUAGCACUUGGGAGGCUGAAGCAGGAGGAUCACCAUGAGUUUAAGGCCAGUCUGGGCUACAUAGUUAGUUCAAGGCCAGCCUGAACUAUAUAGGGAGACCCUGUCUUAACAAACAAACAAAAAACAAAAAGAUGUGUUCUGUACAUGUACCCACUCCACACAAGGAAUGUACACACUAUUACUGCAAACAUGGACUCAUAAAACAAAAUUUUAAAGAAGUGUAAACUACAUCUAUAGCUAAGUGGAUGCACAUUGAGGCCAUACUCUUAAGUGAAAUAAAUAGGACACAUAUGUGUAAAUAACGAAUAGUUUCUCUAGUGUGAGAAACUGAAAGUGUAAAUAAGGAUGAGAACGAUGUAAAUAGGGAAGGGUGGAGGGGGUGAAGGGAGGACAGGGAAUGGGGGAAAAAUAAGAACCAAGAUUCAUCAUGUACAGGUACAAGCACCCAGUGAUAAAUGUAAACGUAUUGUACACCUAAAAUGUACCAAUAAAAGAAUUUAAGCAAAAAAAAAGGAAGUGUAGUGUCUGAAAACUAUGCAUGGCUUCAAAUUUUGCUCUGCCACUAAAUAUGUGACAUUGCCUUCCAUCUGUUUCCUGAUGAUAUAAUGUGUGUAGAAAUGUUAACUCAUGGAAAUAUGUGAGUAUUAAACAGAAAGUUUCCUAGUGUUCAGGGCUAUAUUCAGACACCGCAAAGAGUGUAGUACAUGUCAACUUCACUUCCCCGUGGUGGUCUUCCAUUAACCUGCCUGUGAACGUAUGAAGGACACACAUGAACAGGCGUCGCCUAUGUGACUGUAUGUCAUCUCAAACUCUUUCUUUUCUGUCCAAAUAUGUAACCAAGAGAGAGAUGUUCUUCUGUCAUAAUGCAAGGUAGUUAUUUAUAUUCAUGUUUGCACUUUUUCUCACUAGAUAAAAGCUGAGUGUAUUCUGUGUGGUAAAUUCUGUACCAAGAUCAGCGAUUAACGAGCUAGGACUGCUUUCUGCCUCUAGAAAUUUACAUCUUAUUUCAGAGCAACAGAAUUAGGCCCAUUCUUGCUAUGCCCUCCACAUAUUCAUCUAGGGUCAUAGGCACUUUUACUUUUCCUCUCCCAAAGCACACUAAGAGUUCACACAGAAAAUAGAUCUGGUGGUUUGAGGCUCAUUACCAAGUUACCAUGACAAUAUUUUCUGCUCAGUCCUGCUUUCCAGCCAGGGAUGUGCCCAGCACGUACCUCAGUAGUGGGCUCUGUACAGUCCUUCAGGUGCACAUCUGAGACAACCAGGACCAGUCAUCUUUUUUUUGCAGAACCAGGGAUUGAACUCAGGACCUUGUGCUUGCCAGGCAGGCGUGGCGCCACUGAGCUCCACCUCUGGCCCGCAUCCUUUUAUGUGUAUCCUUAGCCUGCUUUUAUUAGGAAAUGGGAAUUAAGUACCUUCCCAUGUUAUAACAACCAUGCAGCGUAAAGAGAAUGCAGUCCCCAAACUGUCAUGAGCACAUUAAAAAAAACAAUAGGAUAGCAGUUGUGCAGUCAAGGGUGUCAGCUUGGUUGGGUGGAGCCUCCUGGGGAUUAGUCCGGAUUCCCAGCCCUAAGCUCGGGCACCCCGCUGGCCCGGGCCCCUUCCGCUCUGGCCUCGCUCCCAACUCUGCUUCCGGCUGCCGUGAGCUGAGCGGAUUUGCUCCACCAGGCCUUUCUGCCAUUACUUUCUGCCUCUCACCCAGCUGAUCAUGGACUGAAGUUUCUGAAAGCAGAAGAAACCUUUCCUCCUUGAGUGGUGGGUGUCAGAUAUUUGCCCCAGCAAUGGAAGAGAAACACAGUAAUCAGAAUACGUUCUAAUAGUCAAGUCAUCAAUAAUCAAAAUGAUUCAAAGUAAUGUCUAAUUACAUCUCUCUGUUACCUCCAAAAUAGAGCCAAUCCUUAUGUCCUGGUGUGUUGGGAACAUGUCUUCACAACCCACUUCCCUUUCUUCUUUUCUUCCUUUGCUCUCCUUCCUCCCCUUGAAAAUUCUUCCAAUAUUCAGUCUACCUCAAUUACCCGUUAGUGAUUUAAUGGACAUUAUACAUUUGUUAAUUAUUUAAGAAGUACUUUGACACAAAUGGAAGCCCUGUACGUACAGAAAGGAUGCUUUACAGUUUAUUCCAAAGAGAUACAAUAUUUCUAAAAUCCUUUUAAUCUUCUCAGAAAGCAAACAUAGUCAUUUGACAACCAAGGCAGAAGCUCCACAUAAAACUAAUGACCAAUCCCAGACAUAUUUCUUUUCACUGAGGAUUUUCCAGUUAUCAACCUAAUCAUUUAGUGAUAGCAGCACUUAUAUGAUUAUAAUAAUCUAAGAAUUAUAACACUAGGCUCUUUGCCUUAAAAUGUUCACUGCCUUUUUCUUUUUAAAAAAUGUUUUAUUGGUACAAUUCAGAUAUACAUAAUGAUCACAUACAUCAUAUGGAAUUUGUACCUGUACAUGAUAUAUCUUAAUUCUUGUUUUUUUCCCAUUCCCCUCCUCUUCCUUCAACCCUUUUUGCCCUCUUUAUUUGCAGAAUGUUUGCUUCUAUAUUAUCUUUCUUUUCUCAUCUUCCCCUUUUCCCUUUCUUCCUUUUCCUCUCCCCUUUCUCUAGUGUCCCUUCCUGUCCUCUUCAUGGCAACCAGAAAGCAGAGAAAAAAGGGAGGAACCAGGAAGGAAGAGAGACCCUGCCAGGUGAAGACCCCGUUGACCUGCCACUUCUGACCACAAGCCACCUCUGAACAGCAAGCCAGCUAUCAUGCCCCAUGGUCCGGUCAUCUUCCAAGCCCACCUUUAAGGGCAUGAGAGUUGGGGUGGACAGCCAGCUGUAAACAGUAACACUCAGCAUCCCCUUAUAUUCAUGCCUCUUAAGCCUGGAGUUCACAAGACCUGGAUACCACCCACCAUGACAUGGAUUUCUGUCUUUGUCUGCUGUCUUCCUAAAUAUCUUGUGUAUUAACACACCUGAAUGACCUCACCUUAGUGGCUUUCCUUAUGAAACUUAUUUUAACUAGAACUGGAAUGUCCACUCCAUUAUUUUCAUCAUCUAAAUCCAAUUCUUUGAAGACAAUAAGGCAAAACAUUUAUAAUAGUUGAGUAUAAAGGUUUAUGUAUAUAGGUCUCACUGUGACUUAUGAUUUGCUGUAUUGUUCAAAUAUUAACAAUAAAAGUUAGGUAAUAAAUGUUUACAAGUAAUCCAAUUUGUCCUUCAGGGAUAAAAUGACUUCCUAUUCUGGAAAUCUUCUUUCUUCUUCCUUUUUUUUUCCACAUGGUACCUGGGAUGUAGUUCAUGUCUGAUCUCCUAAAACUGGGAGUACAGUGUAACUACUUGGUGUGUGAACUAAUUUCCAUUUAUCAGAUUGAAGCUCCAAUUGGUUCAGGGCCUGCCUCACUCACCUAUGUGUACAAUACAAACAUUGCCAACGGGCUCUCAGGUGAGAUACCCAAAUAACUUGCACAUGUAACUGAAUUAUGGUGACAUAUGCGGUCAGCACGGGUUGUCUGUGUGUGGAAAUGGCCCUGUAAAGAAUGAGUGAAGAUAAAUAAUGACAUUAAUAAGCAGCAGCAAAGCAAAAAUAAAACACCCUAAGGAAAUAAUUUUCAACAGUAAAAGGAGUGAGAUAUUUAGAAUGUGAAAUGAAAUUUCCGAGGAAUUAUUGAUAAUUUUCUAGGGAUUUGAAAAAAUGUUGGCAGUUAGCAUCGUUUCUUAGCACUGUGGUUUUAAUACACGGGGUGCAUCUCUUGAGACUUGAAUGUGAGUUUUCAGCUAAGUGAAACCAACCCUUUCAUUUAUCACCAAAGUCCAUGGCCAAGCAGAACACGUGUUUAAAAAUGUGCAUCUCCUAGGAAUCUGGGGCACAGGAGGAGAGUUUAAGUCAUAACAUUUGAUAAAUGGAGAAAAAUAAAAAGUGUUUAUUGAAGAUGUGGAAAUUUCCUGAGAAACGGGGAAUUUCGAUGAAUUACCAAGUGUAUAAGAAUAUGUUUAGUCCACAAAUAAAAGUUAUGCUGGAGUGAAGGGUGACAAAAUAUUGAACUAGAACUUCCAUAGCAGUUUUUUGGUAUUAUUGGAAGGUAUUUCUAGAUUUUCUAAAAGUCUAAUUUCAAAAUAAGUAUAAACUUAAACUUAGGCAUCCUGAGUGAAUAAUUUAGAUUCCUUCAAUGAGCCCCACGUUAGCCAUGCCAAGCCAGUGUGUCCUGAUGAAUUCACUGAAGGAUUUAGGGACCAGAGUUAUUAAGAGUAGCGAAAGCGGACACUACUGCAUUAGCUGGGACUGCAUUAGUCACUAGCCCUCUUACGACACGUGCCCUGGUAGUUGGCCAGGCAAAGCUAAGCAGGAGAUUAUUCACAGAAUUCAUUUUGGUGCAGCACACUGUGUAAUACUGACAUAGUAGCCUCGGUCUCCAGUGAUAGCCUCCAUGUCCACAGUGGCUCAGAGUGAAAGUCUUACUCAUUCACUGUUGCUCAGAAACAUAUCAGGAAAAGCUCUCCAAGGCCACCAGGAAGGAGGCCACUGCUGAAAGAGCAGGAAGUGGGAGGAAGCCUGCCUAGAUUCCCAGAGAGGGACAGGAAGUGUCAGGGUGACUUUUCCCCUUGACUUGCAUUCCAGUAAUCACUUAUUUUGCUGAUUGUUCAUUGCAG